AUCACGCCAACCCCUCUGUCCUGAUGCGUUCCCUUCUCUCCUUGUCCAACCAUCACGAUCUCUGCCGGCGCCUGUCCUCGCCCACGAUGAAGAAGACCAAGUGAUGUUGUGCCACUCGGGGGUGCCUCCCUCGCGCGGCCACAUGCCUGUAUCCUCCCGCUUUUCUCGUUGUCGCCUCGCUCGGUGCUCGACUGGAGGAGCUUGAUUCGUCGCGCCACUGUUGCGGCCAGUCUACCUCCUCCUCGGCACUGAAUAGGAGGCCUGCACCUGUGUGUGCACCAUCUUGGGGGAAGGAGGUUAUCGGGGCUGGCUUCCCUUUUGUUCUGGUCCUGGAGCUCCGCGCGUUGGUUGUUCUCUAAUUGGUGCGAUUUCAGUUGGCAAUUUCCUAUGCUUUUUACUAUGGAAGAUGGCAGCAAGGUGAUCCAGGUGCUGUUUACUCUGCACUCCGUCAGGAGGCUAGAGUUAUCAGGUUUUCCAACCAGUUAUGGGCAGUAGUGGAUAUAUGUGUUCAAUGAUGGAUUGAUGAGAGGGUCACCUUUGAAUAUAGAUAAUAGAUGGAGUUGUAAAAUAGUGCCGCUGCUGCCCUCUAGUUACUACCAAAUUGAUGG